rnacentral:lncRNA from 1 species
AUGGGGAACAUUAUGGACGGUAAGUCGGUGGAGGAGCUGAGCAGCACCGAGUGCCACCAGUGGUACAAGAAGUUCAUGACAGAGUGCCCCUCCGGCCAGCUCACCCUCUACGAGUUCCGCCAGUUCUUCGGCCUCAAGAAUCUGAGCCCGUGGGCCAGCCAGUACGUGGAGCAGAUGUUUGAGACCUUUGACUUCAACAAAGACGGCUACAUUGAUUUCAUGGAGUACGUGGCGGCGCUGAGCCUGGUCCUCAAGGGGAAGGUGGAACAGAAGCUGCGCUGGUACUUCAAGCUCUACGACGUGGACGGCAACGGAUGCAUCGACCGCGACGAGCUGCUCACCAUCAUCCAGGCCAUCCGAGCCAUUAACCCCUGCAGCGACUCGACCAUGACCGCCGAGGAGUUCACCGAUACAGUGUUCUCCAAGAUUGACGUCAAUGGGGAUGGGGAACUCUCCCUAGAGGAGUUCAUGGAGGGCGUCCAGAAGGACCAGAUGCUCCUGGACACGCUGACCCGAAGCCUGGACCUUACCCGCAUUGUGCGCAGGCUCCAGAAUGGAGAGCAGGAUGAGGAGGGGGCUAGCGGCGGGGAAACGGAGGCCGUGGAGGCCGACGGCUGA